rnacentral:rRNA from 1 species
UACGGAGGAGGCAAGCGUUAUCCGGAAUUAUUGGGCGUAAAGCGUCCGCAGGUGGCCCCUCAAGUCUGCUGUCAAAGACCGGGGCUUAACCCCAGAAAGGCGGUGGAAACUGAAGCGCUAGAGUGCGGUAGGGGUAGAGGGAAUUCCCGGUGUAGCGGUGAAAUGCGUAGAGAUCGGGAAGAACAUCGGUGGCGAAAGCGCUCUACUGGACCGCAACUGACACUCAGGGACGAAAGCUAGGGGAGCGAAUGGG